AUGGGAGAGGUGGCCUACAAGUUGGAGUUACCCGAAGGACUGUCUGGAGUUCAUGAUGUGUUUCACGUUUCCCAGUUGAAGAAGUGUCAUGCUGAGAUGGCCGAUAUUCCUCUAAGAGUUACAGUGCCCCUGGAAGCAAUUCAGUUGGAUAGUGAUCUGACCUAUGAGGAUAAACCAGUCAAGAUUCUCGAGUUUGCCAGCCGAGUCACACGCAGCAAGGUUAUCAAGUUUUGCAAAGUUCAGUGGAGCCACCAUACCGAGGAUGAAGCCACCUGGGAACGAGAGGAAGAUCUACGCAAAGACCACCCACACCUAUUUUCUAGCCAACCCGAAUCUCGAGGGCGAGAUUCAUCUUAA
rnacentral:rRNA from 1 species